rnacentral:lncRNA from 1 species
GUGGCAGUGGUCCGUGUGGUUGGGGGUCACCGUCACGGGCUGCCCAUCUGUGGUGUAGUGCGUCUCAGUAUAGCCUGGUGCCAGCAGCUGGUUCCUCUCCAGCACCAGAAUGAGCUCUCUGCCCUCAGCCAUCACAGCCACCUCCGCCCGCGCCGGCGCUGGCACCUCAUCAUCCAGGCUGACGGCUCGCCGGCUGCGACCCCCCAGGAGCCAGUGUGGUGUCACCCGCUCUCCGUGGGACAUCGGCCCUCGUGUCCCAGCAGCACCCCCGUGCCCAGGGAGCAGCAGCAGCCCCAGCAGCAAGACGUGAUCCCCAAAAAUGACAGCGAAGCCCCUCCAUUUAGGGGACACGUGGGGGGCCAACCUCGCCAUGCCCGCGCUCCCCAGGGCUGUCACAGCCUCUGCUCCCUGCCGCCAGCCCUCUCUUCCCUCUUAUGCUCUCGGGUGCC